GUAAAUAUAGUUUAAAUAAAACACUAGAUUGUGGUUCUAGAAAUAAAGGUUAAAGUCCUCUUAUUUACC
rnacentral:tRNA from 1 species